rnacentral:rRNA from 1 species
GGUGAACGCUGGCGGCGUGCUUAAGACAUGCAAGUCGAACGGCAGUCUUCGGACUGUAGCGGCGCACGGGUGAGUAACGCGUAACUGACCUACCCCAAAGUCGCGGAUAACGAUUCGAAAGAAUCGCUAAUACGUGAUGUGCUGUCAGAUUGUGUUCUGCCAGUAAAGAUUGAUUGCUUUGGGAUGGGGGUGCGUUCCAUCAGCUAGUUGGUGGGGUAAAGGCCCACCAAGGCGACGACGGAUAGCCGGCCUGAGAGGGUGGCCGGCCACAGGGGCACUGAGACACGGUCCCACCCCUACGGGAGGCAGCAGUUAGGAAUCUUCCACAAUGGGCGAAAGCCUGAUGGAGCGACGCCGCGUGAGGGAUGAAGGUCUUCGGAUCGUAAACCUCUGAAUCAGGGACGAAAGACACUCGGUGGGAUGACGGUACCUGAGUAAUAGCACCGGCUAACUCCGUGCCAGCCGCCGCGGUAAGAC